rnacentral:rRNA from 1 species
ACGCUGGCGGCGUGCCUAAUACAUGCAAGUAGAACGCUGAAGGAGGAGCUUGCUUCUCUGGAUGAGUUGCGAACGGGUGAGUAACGCGUAGGUAACCUGCCUGGUAGCGGGGGAUAACUAUUGGAAACGAUAGCUAAUACCGCAUAACAGUAGAUGUUGCAUGACAUUUGCUUAAAAGGUGCAAUUGCAUCACUACCAGAUGGACCUGCGUUGUAUUAGCUAGUUGGUGGGGUAACGGCUCACCAAGGCGACGAUACAUAGCCGACCUGAGAGGGUGAUCGGCCACACUGGGACUGAGACACGGCCCAGACUCCUACGGGAGGCAGCAGUAGGGAAUCUUCGGCAAUGGACGGAAGUCUGACCGAGCAACGCCGCGUGAGUGAAGAAGGUUUUCGGAUCGUAAAGCUCUGUUGUAAGAGAAGAACAGGAGUGAGAGUGGAAAGUUCACACUGUGACGGUAUCUUACCAGAAAGGGACGGCUAACUACGUGCCAGCAGCCGCGGUAAUACGUAGGUCCCGAGCGUUGUCCGGAUUUAUUGGGCGUAAAGCGAGCGCAGGCGGUUAGAUAAGUCUGAAGUUAAAGGCUGUGGCUUAACCAUAGUACGCUUUGGUAACUGUUUAACUUGAGUGCAAGAGGGGAGAGUGGAAUUCCAUGUGUAGCGGUGAAAUGCGUAGAUAUAUGGAGGAACACCGGUGGCGAAAGCGGCUCUCUGGCUUGUAACUGACGCUGAGGCUCGAAAGCGUGGGGAGCAAACAGGAUUAGAUACCCCUGGUAGUCCACGCCGUAAACGAUGAGUGCUAGGUGUUAGACCCUUUCCGGGGUUUAGUGCCGCAGCUAACGCAUUAAGCACUCCGCCUGGGGAGUACGACCGCAAGGUUGAAACUCAAAGGAAUUGAC